rnacentral:rRNA from 1 species
CGGUGGAGCGUGUUGUUUAAUUCGACGGUAAGCGAAGAACCUUACCAAGGCUUGACAUCCUGCCAAGCCCAGCGAAAGUGGUGCCGCAUACAGGUGUGACGAGCGCAACCCUUAUAGUUAGUUGGGGAUGUCAGGUAUUAUUUCCCUUACGCCUUGGCCACAUACAUGGCCGGUACAAGGGCAGCGAAGUCGCGAGGCGGAGCAUCCCAUCAAAGCCGGUCUCAGUUCGGAUAGCAGUGAAACUCGCCUGCUUGAAGCUGGAGUCGCUAGUAACGGAGGUCAGCACACUACCGUGAAUACGUUCCCGGGUCUUGUACACACCGCCGUCAAGUCAUGAAAGUCGCCAAUACCUGACGUGUCCGCUUUACGGAUCCUAAGUAGGGGAGAUGAUUGGGACUAAGUCGUACAAGGU